AUCGAUUUAAAUUGUUUGUAUUGUAUUUUACCGAUCCUGGUUCAGGCCACAAAAACACAUGGCAAGCAGAAGAUAAACAACUUCUUCACCAGAUCUAUGAGGCAAAUUAGGAAGUUACCUAUCUAAACGCGAAGCUUGCUGAUUUUGAGGUGGUGGAGGCCGAUUCGAGGGUUCGGAUCCUCUACCUGGAGAGAGCGCUCGUUGAGAGGGGUGAGAUGAUCAAGUUCAUGUCGAGGACUAGUGGUGGUGGUGGGUCGAAGUUUGAAGAACAUUCCGUUGAUGGUUGUCGAACAAAGCAGUUAGCUACCACCUGUUUUUGCUUAUAAAUAGAUUGCGAAUGCCGUGAAUGAAGGAAAGCUUGUACCGGAGGAGAUAACAUUUGGGUUUUGGCCUAAGAGGUUGGAAGAAAGUUACUGCAAAGGUGAAACUAGCUUGAUUCUUGAGGGAAUCCUAAAAACCAUGAUUCAAGCUGUGAGUUCCAAGAAAAUGGGAUUUUUGUUUCACCUGUAAGUUCACAGCACAUAUAUAUAUAUAUAGAUAUAUUUAUUUUGGGUUUUGAGUGCCUAUUUUGGGGUUGGAAGUCUUGUUAUCUAAUGCUAUUUCAGCGAUUGAAUUUUAAAUUUUUGAUUGAAAUGUCACUUUUUUUGUGAGUUUGACUGAUGGAUUGCUUUUCUUAUUGAUAAAGGCUUUAAGCUUUCUUUUUUUUUUUUGUUUUUUUUUUUUUUUUAAAUAUUGUUCUUUGUGCAAGAUAUUCUUGACUAAAUUGCAGAUAUUGAUUUAGUUGUAAUAUGGUCAAAAGCAUAGAAAUGCAUGUAGUCUUUCCUCAUGGAGAAGUUCUUAGCAUGAGCAAUUCCUUUGCUACUAAUGCUGGAGGUCCCUGGAAGAAAAAAAUUCAUUUCUAUGUAGAGCAGAUACUAUCUUUUAGUUUAAAUUUCCAUUCAAUAUGAUUAGCAAUUUGCAUCAUCAAGGUGCUAGAAAAACUUGAACUAGUUUUGUUGAUUCAGAUUUCUGAAGAAACUAAAAUUUGAGAUUUUUUUCCCCCUAAGCUUGGAGUUUAAUUUAUGGUUCUCGUUUUGAAUUUUGUACGUAUAUUUUUUUGUUUUGUUUUGUUCAGAUUAGAUGUAUUUCCACCUUUUUGCAGCUUGACUUAUGAUUAUUGGUAAUUGAAUUUCACUUUUGUUUUUGGUUCUUGAAUGUUUCUUUAUUCUUUCGUAAAAUUGGAAUUAGUAUGUCCUUAUACUUAAUUUCCAUUUUUUGUCUUUGUUUCUAACCUAGGCCUAGGCCCUCCUUAAUUAUGGAAACUAGGAAUUUUGGCUAAUGAACAUCAACUAUUAAAUUAUCUCUGUCAUAUUGCAAUUAUUUCUUCGAUAUUAUAAUCAAACCAUGAAUUUGAAAGACAUGGGGCAUUUGUGGAAGCAGAUGUAAUUUCAAAACUGAAUCUUACAUGCACUAGAGCUUAUGUUAAAUGUAAUUUACCAAUCUCUUAUUAUCAAUAAGAAAAUUCCAUAAAAAUUUGAUUGAUUACUUGGUUCUUAGAUUCUUGUCUACAAGUAACAAUUUUGUUUUACAUGUCUAUUUAAGCAUUUUUACAUUUUUACUUUAUAUGUGUUUUCAAGCAUCAUCUCUUCUUUGACUCUCAUAAUCAUGCAGGUUUCCCUAGUAAACUAUACCAGAUGUUGACAAUUUGGAACCAUGGUUGGAGUUUCAUAGUCUAGCUACAUCUAGGAGUUGAUUGGUGUGGUAAUGAUGUAUGCCACCAUGUAUACUAUAUAUGCAGCUGUUAAUUAUUAACUUUCAUCAAACUUAUGAUUAGAAGCUAACUAUGAAUAAAUAUAUUGGACGUAGUUCAGUUUCCAGAGAACUAAGCAUUUUCUGAUACUAACCCGUCAUAUGCUCUAGACCCAUUUAUAUGAUGGAUAGGCUAAGUGGCAAAUCAAAGUAUCAUGAUUUUAGCAUAAGUUUAUCACUUGCAGCGAAUUCACUGAUGGAAAAAAUGGUAUCAAAUAGAUGUUCAAUUAUCACUUGGUUUAAAAUUUACUCAUCUGGGUAUUUUCUUAAUAUCUUUUUGACUGUGUUAGUGAGGAUGCACAUGUUUCUAUUUUACCUUCAUAUUGUUGACUGCUCACAUAGGCCUUGUUUGGUAUGAUGUAUUGCCAUGUAUCACCCUGGAUAUGUAUUAUGUAAUAAUAUCUUUGGCAGUUGAAGACACAUGAAGGGUAUUGUAUUACAUAAUACCCUUCCGUGUUUUUCAACAGGGUGAAGGUGUAUUGUCUAAUACACUACUUUUUUCCUGUAUAACAUAAUACCGACUUGCAGCUUUUCCUCCCCCAGUCUCUGUUCUCUGGUAAGUCUUUUCAUCAAUUCUCUCUCUCUUUUUUUUUUUUUUUUUCCCCUCACUCUGAUCUAAUGUUUUUUCCUUCUUUCUAUCCAUCAAUUACAAGGAAAAAAGAAGAACUAGGCAUUUUUGUCUUCUCCCAGCCUCUACACAUCGCAAAGAGAGAGAGACGGAGACCGACCCAAAAUCAGCUUAAAACAAAAUCGUCCCCCUCAGUUGCCAUAGUUGACCAGUAUCAACCCUCUCUUCCAGAUCCUCGCUUCUAUGGGCCAAAUCACUCUCCUCGGGAGUUAUCCCCUUGACUACACCCUUCUCGGCUUUGUUACCUAGACACUCAUCCUGAGCAAUCUUUCAGCUUAAAACAUAAAAACCCAUAAAAUUUGCUUGCUGAUCCGUGAGAUUGUGUGUUUGCUUCUUUCUUUCCUGGUUUUUUAGUUUUUUUAACAAUUAUUUAAACACGAUCAGCUCAAAACACAAAAACUGACCCAAAAUCAAACUAAUGCUUUGAUUUGAUCAAUGUUAAUCAGUUUAAACUAAGGGUAGGUUAAGGCCGACUGGGUUCCUAUGAACUCCCUAUGCUAUUAUUUCGCCUUUUGGCUUAUUUUUCAUCCUAAGCUUUUUGACAUCGAUGACUAUGGUGAAGGUAUUGUAUAGAUAUGGUUUAUUAUGGCAAUCUAAGACUUGUCUAAUAAUUUUUUUUUUUUCAAUAAAAAUGACGUGGCUAAUAAGGCUAAAAAGAGAGAUAGGGUAAAGAAUAUCCAAGCCUUAGUGAUGGUAGAGAGCUAACGGUCUUCAGUUUUUUUAUUUUUUAUUAUUCCUUCCAUUAGUGUUCCUUUGAGUCUCUUGAAGCUCAUAACAGAGAGGGUGUGAAUUUUGAAAUGAUUUUUUCGUUUACUUCCCCCCCCCCCCCCCCCCCCCCUCUUCUGUUUCUGGACAUUUCUCUGCAACCAAAUAGAGAACGGUUGCGGAAAAUUUUGUAAAUAAGUUGCUUGUACUUGAGUAGUUUGAUUCAAAUCUGCUGUUGAAUUAAUUGGAUUGGAUAUUAGUUCGCUUUUCGAAAAGUGGAAGUUCAAAUCUUUGUGUUUUCAAGUUGUAUAGAAAUUUAGACAUAUAGCAUGCUUUUAGUUAAUUAUUUUUUUCAGCUUUACAAUAAUUUUGUUUAAUUAUUUUAUUUAUGAUAAGAUAACUUUAGGUGGUUUUGAUA